CGCGGCCAAAGGGAGGAGCUCUCGGCGCUCCUGUCCCCGGAAUCACCCGGAGGCGGUUGGAAUUAACUGUCCAGGCUCCGCCACCAGCGCUCGGCCGCCGACUCCGGCUCCGGAAGGGAGGCCCGGGACGCGGCGGUUUUGUUAUUGGCAGGGAAGAGACCUGGGUUCCCGAUCGAACACAGAGGCCGAGCGCAGCAGUCCCCCACUGGGGUGCUGGGACCGCCCCUCGGGUGGGCGGACGGCUUUAGCUUCCUACCCCGGGUUGUGACCGGGUGGGGUCACAUAAGUUCAGGUCCACGCCCUGCUCGGUGCCGGCGCCAGGAGAGCCAGGAAGACGCGGCCCGGCUUGCGGGGGGUAGAGGGACACACUUGCGCUGCGGGACCAGUCUCCUGAGGCUGCACGGAGUCAAACCAUGAACUGAAUUCCUUCCCAAAGUUAGUUCAGCCUACGCUGAGGAAUGAACAAGGACAGCUUAAAGAUUAGAAGCAACAUGGAACUGGUCAAUGACAUGAGGAAGACCGAAGGAGGCUGCUGGGUGUGGACACAAAGAGAUGGAGCAGACGCUUAUGGGCUCCUUCAUCCUUCCAGAACAGACUCUCCAAGCAAAGUCUAAACCAGUCACAUUGAAGCUCCUAGGGUUACUUCAUUAAUAAUAUUUCAG
rnacentral:lncRNA from 1 species